UUGGGAGUGUGCACCCGAGGGGGGAGGGGGAGGGGGAAACAAUCACAGUGGCUCUAAACUCAACAGCUCAGUUUGAGGUAGAACUAUCACGCUGCCCUCUCUCUACUCGGGGAAACUUUGGGUAUGGGUAGUCGGAUAGUUUCAUUUAUUUCUGCACAAACCUUUAGCUCCAGGAAGUUGCAGGAGUCAGCCCAUACCUGUCCCGGGCACUGUCCGAGGGCAGCAGCUUCAGACGCCGAACACCUUCCUGAACACACUCUUGGGCUUCAGCCCACCUUUGCAUAUACACCCUAGGCCCUAGCCCACAUUCCUGCGCACACCUGUCCCAGGCAGUUCUGGACCCUCCCUACCUCUUCGAGCACACUUGCCCGGGACAACAGCCCGAGGCAGCGCCAAAGCGCUCCAUUCCGAGGACGUCAAAAGUAUGGUUUUUAGGAGCCGGGAUUUAGCUCAGUGGUUCCGGCGCCUGCCUCACAAGCGCAAGGUCCCUAGUUCGAUCCCCCGUACAAAAAAAACAAAAACAAAAACAAAAAACCAGUUGCGCGCGGGACUACUUUUUGCAGACCCUCGGGCCAGGCGGAGGGAUCCCUUCCGGGCGCUCGCGCGGAGCACCGCAGUACUUGGAGAACCGCAGUACUUGGAGAACCGCAGUACUUGGAGACCAGAGGCAGUGAGCCUGCGCUUUCCCCUGUGCCGCUGCUCGUCAGCCAGCGCCAGGGGAACCCCUACUACCUCGGUCUCGCACCCACAAUGGCGCAGAUUCUCCCCAUCCACUUCCAAGACCAUUUCCAGGACCUUGCCCUCGCGAGGCAGGCGGUGGAACCACUGAGGUAAAUCCUUGGCUCCAAUUUGUUUUAAUAAAUUUGUGCUUGGGGAAAAUAAGGACUGGCCAUGUGUGUGUGAACAGGAUUCAAAUUGGGCACCGAGUGGAGCCCUUCACUCCCAAAGUCCUGGGAAGGGAGAGAGGUCUCACAGAUUACAGGAGAGGGGAUGAGACUAGAGAAGUAAAAACCAGUGGCUCCAUCCUAAGAGCUUUUAUGUUAAAUCGUUACAAUCCAGUAAGUUAGGUCUUUUUCACUGUUUUAUAGAUGAGAAAACCGAGUCAGAGAAGUUAAAUACCUCUUUAAGAAGAGCAGGAUUCAGACUCAAAUCUAGUCGACAACAGAGCUGUACAGCAAUGAAUGUGGUCAAUUGAAAGGCCAUAUUUUCAAGUUCAGAACGCUGUUGGCUCUGUAUCCAAAUGACAAAGGUCUUGGGAGUUUUAUAAUGACCAGUCCAGUCCCCUUAUUCUACAGAUUGAAAACUUGGUAUCUAGAGUGUCCUGCCUAGGUCAUUUGGUUGGUGCUACGGUUGAGGUUGUGUCCUAACAUUUGUCUCCUCUGUGGACUUAAUUCUAACUCUAAGGUGAGCCAGUGCCAGUAAUGUGAGGUAGCAAAUAUUGCUGCUGCUAAUAGUAAUAAAUAAUGUCAUAAUUAUGAUUUACUGAGCUGUUUCUUUUGGUUUCUCUUGCCACAUAUACACUGGACCUUUUUUUCUUUAAUGAAUCUUGUUUAAUCUUCAUGAAAACUCAGACAGUGACACCCGUAUCAUUAACUCAGAUAAAAUCACACUGCUGGUAAAUGACAAAGCUGGAUUCCAACUCAGUUCUGAUUCCAAAACCUGUUUUUGUUGUUGUUGUUGUUUGGAAAUAGGGUCUCCCUGUGUAAUCCAGGCUGGCCUUGAACUCAGGACAGUCCUCUUGCCUCUACCUCCUGAGUGCUGGGAUCACAGGUGUGCGCCACCAUGCCCUGCUCAAAGCCUGUUCUUAAACAAAAAAGCGUAGAUUUUAAGUUUCUAUUAAAGUUUAUAAUGGCUUGAGGAUAUAUUUUCAUUGUCUGGAAAAUAUUGUGGCUUGUAGCAUGCAGGCCAUAUGAAUGAAACUUUGUGGUUUGUGGUCUCCAACUUUUAAGUGGUGUUUGACCAUGCUCUGCAUUCUGCAUUCUGUUUCUGUUGUCAGCACAACACUCUGCCUUCACUGCAGACAUUUUGAACUUCUACCUGUUCCUUUUUUUUUUUUUUUUUUAACCUGUUCCUUAAAUGCCUGUUCCUUCCACUCCCAUUUUGCUGCCAGCAGAUGACUCCGGGAAAAUGGAAACCAUACAUUGCAAUGUGGUCACCUCUAUGUUUGCACAUUGUCUGCAGCCACGCUUCCCUGCCUUCCUGUUGUUAUUUCAGAAGGGGUAUUCUUAGCGUUGCCUGUAUUCCCAUUCUGAACCUUCCCUCUAGUGGGGCCCUUGCCCAGUAGCAGCUCCUCUUUCCUGGAGUUUCAUCAAUUCCCUUUCAGUGGCUUCUUCCUGUUUGUGUUUAACAGUGCUCACAAACCCCUUCUUCCCUUGUUCCCUUGAAGUUCUUCUCUCAAAGCCAGACAUGGUCAAAAAUCGCUUUAUCUCUUCCAUUACUCCUUUGUGUUCUUCAGUAACCUGGAAUUUAGUUUUCAUCUCCUCAUUUCCCUGAAUUAGUUCUUGCCAAGGCCACAUGUGAUCCUGGAGACAUUUUUUAAUAAAGGACCAGAUAAUAUGUUUUGAGAGGCACAUUGUGUCUCCGUGUAGUGGC
ensembl:lncRNA